GACGAACGCUGGCGGCGUGCUUAACACAUGCAAGUCGAACGGAAAGGCCCUGCUUGCAGGGUACUCGAGUGGCGAACGGGUGAGUAACACGUGGGUGAUCUGCCCUGCACUUCGGGAUAAGCUUGGGAAACUGGGUCUAAUACCGGAUAGGAACCAUCUUUAGUGUGGUGGUUGGAAAGUUUUUUCGGUGUAGGAUGAGCUCGCGGCCUAUCAGCUUGUUGGUGGGGUAAUGGCCUACCAAGGCGGCGACGGGUAGCCGGCCUGAGAGGGUGUACGGCCACAUUGGGACUGAGAUACGGCCCAGACUCCGACGGGAGGCAGCAGUGGGGAAUAUUGCACAAUGGGCGCAAGCCUGAGGCAGCGACGCCGCGUGGGGGAUGAAGGCCUUCGGGUUGUAAACUCCUUUCGCUAGGGACGAAGCUUUGUUGUGACGGUACCUAGAUAAGAAGCACCGGCUAACUACGUG
rnacentral:rRNA from 1 species